rnacentral:lncRNA from 10 species
GUUUGUUGAUGUUUUAUUACAGCUUUCAUUUUAUUCUAAUUUUUUAUCAUCUUAAAAAUGUUUGGACAAGACUUUCCAAGGAGUGUAUUUUCAUUUUAUGUCAGAAAUUAUUUAAAAUGUUUUAUUUCACAGUUUAACUUUUCCCCUGCAUCAUCUUAAGCUUGACAGUGUCUUAAACACUUCAGGACAACCAACCUGAAACAAUAGCAAGAUGUUUUUCUAGAAUAAAAUCUCUUCUACCAAUGGCCAAUAUCCAUCCCUCAUGAGGCCUACUUGUUCUUGUCAAAACUUGAGGGUGGACUAGGCUGAUCUUUCACAUAUGCCGGUGACAAGUUUUUCAUGGUGGUCAUAAAACUCGUUUCAAGCUUUGACUUUUAAAGAUUUGGAGGGUCCGGUUCUUCACAAACCCCACCCUUCUUCCUCCUGUUUUCUUCAGAAGGGAACAGGCAUACCACGCUCAGAGAAAACACAAGUUCAAGACUUUCCGAGAUGAUUUAGAGUUGGAUCUCUUGUUAUUUUAGCAUAAUGUUUAUUUCCUCUUACAGAUUCCAUUUGCAAAAAACAUUUAUGGACUCAUAGCUCCGAACUUUGGAGUUGGUUUUGCAAUUGGUAAGUCACACGAACCUUGUGCCUACAUUUAAAACCGCUUUUCCACUAGGAAGGGUUCUUCUUCCUCUGGUAGACUGUAGUUCCUCAACCUAAAUUUCCAGAAUCUUAGAAGGAGGCUGCAGGCAGCUUAGCUAAAUUACAGCCUGUCGAUUCUCCGUGUAAAGACACCUGCUUCUAUGCACUAGUCAUUUAUUUCCUGAAAACCAGUAUUUUUUAAAAGCUGAUAUUUACAGAAGGAAACUGAUGCUCCACUGCUGGGGCUGGGCAAACAAAGGAAUCCCUUGCACAGAGCUCAUUUUUGUGGACUCCUCCCUAUGAGCAGGUCUUCUCAUGAGGCUGGGGGCAAAGGCUUCACAUAUGUAUUUUGAAGAGGUUUUAGUACAGACAAAGCAGACUAAUGUGUUGAUGACCGCCUGUGCUGCAGGAAUUCCCAUGGGCAAGGAGAUGGGCUUUUGUAAUGUUAAGAAUGAUAAUAUGUUAGGAAAAAUCUGUCACUAUUUUGAGUGAAUGGUAUACUUUUGUCUCUUAUUUAUAAUAUACCAAUUGAUCAUGAUAAAAAUAAGUGCUCAGUCCACCCCUGUAGAAGCAGGAACGCAACCUUUGAGUGGUACAGUGGCACAGCAUGGCUUUCACUGAGGACAGAUGGUAGAAGGCUGCUGAGGCUGGGGUAGAACUCAGUAUGGUACUCUAGGUCCUUCUCAGGUGACCGUUUGCCUGUCCUCUGCCUUGCCUCCCCUUGUCCUCCACUGUCUGGUUGGCCCAUCUUUUUAGGGAGGGUGCUAGUCCUCUGGCGGCUCCCCUUGCCAUUCUGCAGGUCUGGCAGAGUUGCAGGUUGCUAACUGUACGGCCCCUGGCCUGCAUCCUUUUGGUGCUUCCCUGCUUUGCUGUUUUCUGGUUCACUUGUCCCUCACCACUCAGCACACCUGCAUGCCUGACCCACCUCCUGCCAAAAUUAUGUGUGUGUAUGUAUGUUUAUGUGUGUGUGUGUG